rnacentral:rRNA from 1 species
GAURAARAACGUAGCGAAAUGCGAUAUAUGGUGUGAAUUGCARAAUCCCGUGAACCAUCGAGUCUUUGAACGCAAGUUGCGCCUGAGGUCGUGAGGCCGAGGGCACGC